AUUUGUUUGUAGUAGUGCUGAGGAAGCUUCUGAACCAGGCCCAGCCCUCAAGGAUACAAGGACUGUGGGAAACAGAGUGUGAGCAUUCAGUGCCCAUUGUAGCUGUCCUUAAACCAGAGUAAAUGACCCUCACAGGCAUAUUGUCCUCUUUUCCCUGACUCCAUAUGUAUUAAAGUUGUUGUUUCUUUUUGUUUGUUUUUUUAAAAGAUUUUAUUUAUUUAUUAUAUAUACAUGGAAGCAGAAUGUUGUGUACAUAAUAAAUAAAUAAAAUCUUAAAAAAAAAAAAGAUAUACUUGUGCUCCAAACUGCAAAAGGGAAUCUGCACGUACAUUUUAUUAAUAGCUCGGUAAGUAUACACCAUUAGUGGUUUCUUUGUUCUAAGUCAGCCCAGGUGCUCCUGUGGGAGUAAAGGUUGAAAUCAUCAGACGUUUAAGAACACUCAGCAAUUCAAGAAGCCCUGAGGGCAAGAUGGGGCCAGCAAGAUUAGUCAGUAUUCUGGCAGGCAACGCUCCUGGGUGCCACACACAACAAAGGAAAGGACACAAAGGGGGCCGUUUCCUACAUAAUGGUGCCUGAAGACACCAAGAUGUAAAUUACUUCACAGGCGCUGGGUAAUCUCCAUUCCUUUGAUCUCUGCCUAUCCCGUGGCUCAUUUGGCCUGAGGAGCUGAAGCCAUUCAUAGGGUAACACGUCCCAGGCGGCUGGCCAGCCUUUUUAAGGGAUGGGUUUCUUAGUUCAGAGUCUCCGCUCUGGUAAGCUUAUGCUCUCCCCAACUCUCAAGAUGCAUUAAAGCUUGUCUGCAGAAGGAUCCGAGUGUCCUGUGCGUGUAUUUCUUGCCGGCGAGAAAAUACAGCACGCGCAAGACAUAUGGUGCCGAAACCCGG
rnacentral:lncRNA from 1 species